rnacentral:rRNA from 1 species
CUGAAAAAUUGAAUGGCCGCAGUAUUUUAACUGUGCAAAGGUAGCAUAAUCAUUAGUCUUUUAAUUGAGGGCUGGAAUGAAUGAUUGGACGAGAUAUAAACUGUCUUAAUUAAAUUUAUAGAAUUUUAUUUUUUAGUCAAAAAGCUAAAAUUUUUUUAAAAGACGAGAAGACCCUAUAGAUCUUUAUUUUAAUUAUUUUAUAAAUAAAUAAGAAAAAUUUUUUUAUAAAAUUAAUUUAAAAUUUUAUUGGGGUGAUAUUAAGAUUAAAAUAACUCUUAAUUUAUAAAUUCAUAAAUUUAUGAAUUAUUGAUCCUUUAUUAUGGAUUAAAAAAUUAAGUUACCUUAGGGAUAACAGCGUAAUUAUUUUAGAGAGUUCAUAUCGAUAAAAUAGUUUGCGACCUCGAUGUUGGAUUAAGAUUAAUUUUGGGGGUAGAAUUUCAAAGUAUUAAGUCUGUUCGACUUUUAAUUUCUUAC